AUGGCAGCGCCACCUCUCAGCCUCGCACGCCGCGUCGCCGGCGCCUCCUCCCCUGCCGCCGCGGCGCAUUCCUCCUCCCGUUCCCGCUACUUUCGUCCUCGCCUGCUCCCUUCAAAGCGGUGGAGUGGGGUGGUGAAGAUGGGGGCGGCAGUGGGGGACGGGCAGGGGGGCGAGGAGGAGGAGACGAGGCAGGCCAAGGAGAUGGCCGCUGCCAGGAGGCGGUGGGAGACGCUGAUCAGGGAGCAGAAGAUUAAGACCCUUACACCAAGGGAAGCUGGCUAUACAUUCAAACUCACGGACAAGGUCCUUCUGGAUGUUAGGCCUUCAAAUGAGCGUCAAAAGGCCUGGGUGAAAGGUUCUACCUGGAUUCCAGUAUUCGAUGUGGAUACAUCGUCUGAUUUGAAUGGCCUCAGCAAGAAAGCAUUCAACUUUAUGAUUGGUGGCUGGUGGAGUGGCAGCUCAACAAUGUCAUUCAAUAAGAACUUUGUACAGCAGACCGAGGAGAAGUUCUCAAAAGAUACAGAUAUCAUCCUAGUAUGCCAGAAGGGACUGAGAUCAAUUGCUGCCGCUGAGCAACUUUACAAUGCUGGCUUCGAAAAUUUAUUCUGGGUACAAGGAGGAUUGGAAGCUGCUGAAGAGGAGGACUUUGAGCGGGAAGGUUCCCAAGCUUUCAAGCUUGCUGGUAUUGGUGGGGUUUCUGAAUUUUUUGGCUGGACGGAUCAGCAACGUGCACAGGCUGCAAAGGAAGGAUGGGGAUAUCGGCUGCUCUUCACGGGCCGAUUGGUUGGGGCAAUUGUGCUAGCAGAUGCUCUGUUUGUGGGUGCCCAAAGUAUUGGCCCUCUGCUUCAACAAUUACAGCCUCAUUAA
rnacentral:rRNA from 1 species